rnacentral:rRNA from 1 species
CCUACGGGAUGCAGCAGUAGGGAAUUUUCCACAAUGGGCGAAAGCCUGAUGGAGCAACGCCGCGUGGGUGAAGAAGGUCUUCGGAUCGUAAAACCCUGUUGUUAGAGAAGAAAGUGCGUGAGAGUAACUGUUCACGUUUCGACGGUAUCUAACCAGAAAGCCACGGCUAACUACGUGCCAGCAGCCGCGGUAAUACGUAGGUGGCAAGCGUUAUCCGGAUUUAUUGGGCGUAAAGGGAACGCAGGCGGUCUUUUAAGUCUGAUGUGAAAGCCUUCGGCUUAACCGGAGUAGUGCAUUGGAAACUGAGAGACGUGAGUGCAGAAGAGGAGAGUGGAACUCCAUGGGUAGCGGUGAAAUGCGUAGAUAUAUGGAAGAACACCAGUGGCGAAAGCGGCUCUCUGGUCUGUAACUGACGCUGAGGUUCGAAAGCGUGGGUAGCAAACAGGAUUAGAUACCCGUGUAGUA